GUCUACAGCAUACCACUCUGAAUGUGCUCAAUCUCCUCUGAUCUCAGAAGUUAAGCAGGGUCAGUCCUGUUUAGUACUUGGGUGGGAGAAGUUUGUCCCAGGAAGUGACAUUGAAGGCAGGACCUGAAAGCU
rnacentral:rRNA from 1 species